rnacentral:rRNA from 1 species
GAUGAACGCUGGCGGCGUGCUUAACACAUGCAAGUCGAACGGUGAACACGGAGCUUGCUCUGUGGGAUCAGUGGCGAACGGGUGAGUAACACGUGAGCAACCUGCCCCUGACUCUGGGAUAAGCGCUGGAAACGGCGCCUAAUACUGGAUAUGUGACGUGACCGCAUGGUCUGCGUUUGGAAAGAUUUUUCGGUUGGGGAUGGGCUCGCGGCCUAUCAGCUUGUUGGUGAGGGAAUGGCUCACCAAGGCGUCGACGGGUAGCCGGCCUGAGAGGGUGACCGGCCACACUGGGACUGAGACACGGCCCAGACUCCUACGGGAGGCAGCAGUGGGGAAUAUUGCACAAUGGGCGCAAGCCUGAUGCAGCAACGCCGCGUGAGGGAUGACGGCCUUCGGGUUGUAAACCUCUUUUAGCAGGGAAGAAGCGAAAGUGACGGUACCUGCAGAAAAAGCGCCGGCUAACUACGUG